CUCUAUGGCCAUACCCCCCUGAACACGCCCGAUCUCUUCUGAUCUCAGAAGCUAAGCAGGGUCGGGCCUGGUUAGUACUUGGAUGGGAGAAAUGUGGGUGCUGAGC
ensembl:rRNA 5S_rRNA 5S ribosomal RNA